CAACAUUAUUCAUAAUAGUCAAGAUAUGGAAGCAACCUAAGUGUCCAUAGAUGGAUGAAUGGGUAAAGAAGAUGGGAACACAUAUAUAAUGAAUAUGAAUAUUAUUUGGCUAUAAGAAAACUAUCCUGUCAUUUGCUACAACAUAGAUGGACCUUGAAGGUAUUAUGGAGGACGUAAGAAGACAUGGAGAGUGGUGCUACCGAAGCAGACAGAAGGAG
rnacentral:lncRNA from 1 species